CCUACGGGAGGCAGCAGUGAGGAAUAUUGGUCAAUGGACGAGAGUCUGAACCAGCCAAGUAGCGUGAAGGAUGACUGCCCUAUGGGUUGUAAACUUCUUUUAUAAAGGAAUAAAACGAGGCACGUGUGCCUUUUUGCAUGUACUUUAUGAAUAAGGAUCGGCUAACUCCGUGCCAGCAGCCGCGGUAAUACGGAGGAUCCGAGCGUUAUCCGGAUUUAUUGGGUUUAAAGGGAGCGUAGAUGGGUUGUUAAGUCAGUUGUGAAAGGUUGCGGCUCAACCGUAAAAUUGCAAUUGAUACUGGCAGUCUUGAGUACAGUUGAGGUAGGCGGAAUUCGGGGUGUAGCGGUGAAAUGCUUAGAUAUCACGAAGAACCCCGAUUGCGAAGGCAGCUUACUAAACUGUGACUGACAUUGAUGCUCGAAAGUGUGGGUAUCAAACAGGAUUAGAUACCCCAGUAGUC
rnacentral:rRNA from 1 species